rnacentral:rRNA from 1 species
CACGUAGGCACCAAGCGUUGUCCGGAUUUAUUGGGCGUAAAGAGCUCGUAGGCGGUUCGGUUAGUCGGGUGUGAAAACUUUUGGGCUCAACCCAAAGCGUGCACUCGAUACUGCCGUGACUAGAGUUCGGUAGGGGAGUGGGGAAUUCCUAGUGUAGCGGUGAAAUGCGCAGAUAUUAGGAGGAACACCGGUGGCGAAGGCGCCACUCUGGGCCGAAACUGACGCUGAGGAGCGAAAGCGUGGGUAGCAAACAGG